UACGUAGGGGGCAAGCGUUGUCCGGAUUUAUUGGGCGUAAAGAGCGUGUAGGCGGCUAGGUAGGUCCGUUGUGAAAACUCGAGGCUCAACCUCGAGACGUCGAUGGAAACCAUCUGGCUAGAGUCCGGAAGAGGAGAGUGGAAUUCCUGGUGUAGCGGUGAAAUGCGCAGAUAUCAGGAAGAACACCUAUGGCGAAGGCAGCUCUCUGGGACGGUACUGACGCUGAGACGCGAAAGCGUGGGGAGCAAACAGG
rnacentral:rRNA from 1 species